rnacentral:tRNA from 1 species
UAGCUCAGUGGUAGAGCACCCGCUUGGCAUGGGGGUGACCUGGGUUCGGUUCCCGG